rnacentral:rRNA from 1 species
GCUUACGGCCAUACCACCCUGAGAACGCCCGAUCUCGUCUGAUCUCGGAAGCUAAGCAGGGUCGGGCUUGGUUAGUAUUUGGAUGGGAGACCGCCUGGGAAUACCAGGUGCUGUAAGCU